rnacentral:lncRNA from 1 species
GUAGAUCUAUCAUCAUUCAAAGAGGUUGGAAUAAUAUUUUUGUAUUUUUUGGAUAUAUAAAACUAUUUUAAAUGAAUUAAAAAUAAGCAGAAAAGAGAAAAUUACUAAAAUAUAUCAAAUGAUAAAAUAAAAAAUAUUAAAAAUCAUUUUUAGAAACUAGAAAUUAAAAGGAGAAAAAUGAAAUUGGUCUCAUAUUUUUUGGACUAAUAAUGAAGGACUUAUGAUUUUUUAAAAAGAAAUGGAAUUAAAAGAAAUAAAA